GUUUCUAAUUCUCACUUAGACGGACGGUUGUUUACGGUGAUCUCGAGUCAAGAUGCUAAAUGGAAAAUUCUAUACGGGUCUACCGCCCGGCAUGAUCGAUCGGGGCAGUACACAACGCAACCGCCUGCAAUCGAGUAUCUUCUGGCCAGAUGACACCAAAGUCGAUUCGGCGGUGGAGACGCGUGUAAAGAGGCGUAAUAGUCUACAAAUUGCACAAGCCGAGCGACCGCGACUGCGCAUGCAAUCAUCGGUGAGCGGUGUUGAUGGUGGUGGUGGUUGUGGUGACGCAGAUGUGAAUACGCGACAAUUAUUUCAAAAGGAAUUCUCCAAAUCCUCUAUAGAAUUUCUAGAUAAUUUGGGCGAUGAGACGAAAGUGAGAAAACCGCUACUGUUUAGGGCUGGCAGGAGUGGGGGGAAUGAGGUGACACCGAAACCGACUGCCAUGAAACUGCCUUUGCCGGAGAAUGUGGUGAAUGCUGGUUAUACCACUGCCAAGAAAAAGCAGGCGUUCACCUCGAAAAUCGAGUUCUACGAUUACGUGGGUGACGAGUUAAAUAAUCGGAAUAAUUUGCGACGUUCGAAGAUGGAUAUGAAUGACAAGAAGGAGAUGGAGCGCAAUACGAAGAAUAGUCCAAAAUUGCAAGUGAAAAAUAAUGUGCGUAAUUUAAGCGCAAAUGAAAAGCUCUAUCCAGCCGUACGAAGCGGAAAAUCAGACUUAAAGCAGGGGGAGCAUGAAGCGAGUGCUGACGCAAAGCUUAAUAAUAACAGACGUGUCGAGGUAAGCGAGAGAGCUAAUGAACGAUAUGAUGAAGAUCCUGCAGGCGCUGAUGAGGAAUACGAAAUUGCGCGUCAUAAUGUGACAGGAAUUAAAGUAAACCCGAACACACGCGGCAGCCCCUUGCGUGAUUUGGAAUUUUUAGAAAGUAGACGCACUGUAAGUCCCGAAUAUGGCUACCGUCGUCAACGUCGCUUCCAGGAAUCAUAUGAAGAUGACUAUGAGACACCCGAUUAUCCGCCCAGUGCACGUUAUGGACGUGUGGCGACAGUCCGUCGCGCCAAUAGUGUUGGACGUUUUACAGCGCCACCUAAACGUAUACUCAAAAAUCCCAUAAGAGAACGUAGAUACUAUGAUGAAUACGGUAGCGGGGACUACAGAAUGAGGGAAAUCGGACGAGAUAAUGCACGUUAUGGACACAGAGCUAAUGAAUUGUAUGAGCGCAACCCUGAAGCCGUCGACGAUGUGGAUUAUAUGGAGGGACGCAUGCGAGAUAUGGAUUUGCGUCGAGCUUCGCCCAAAAAACAUGUCACCUACAGUGAUGACACCUACUCACACGACGAUGAAAUGCCAAGUCAGUCACGACGUCUACCGCCGUUGAGUGCGCAGUCGCGUAAUCGCGCGUCAGCAUCAAUACCAGCAGCAAAUAUGCGCACCGGAAGCAAUAGUCAACAACGCCAACAACAACAAGAGUUACGACGUUACAAUAGUGAGAUAGAUAUUGUGGAUGAUGUUAAUGAGACGUUUGUGGGGCACAAAUUUAUGGAAAAUGACAUGCACGACAAUGCAACAACAACAACCACAAAUGCAACCCACAAGCCAUUAAAUAACAGAAGCGUUAAUAAUACUCUGGCCGUGGGAGAUGAGGAGCGCAAUCGUUUGGUCAAUAAAAUAAAUAACAACAACAGCAACAGCAACAAAAAUAAUAAUUACCAUAAUCAUACAACAACAACAUGGAGUCGUCUUAACAAUCAAACAAUCUCAUCAGCUGCACGAAAAAUCACACCAAAAUCGCUAACAACAAAGCAAAACGCUGACAUGCCGACACCAACUCAAGACGCUGAGGUAGCAGCUGCAGCAGUGGGUACGGGUACGGGUACGGGUGUGAAAAAGCAUUUGCGCAGUAGCCUCUGUCUACACAAUGGCGAGAUUAUAGCAAGUGAUGAUGGCGGUGCGACGUCCGCAAAGGCGGCACCCACGCGAAAUGCGCGCACCACAGCGACGCGUCAGCGCAUUAGUGUGGGUCUGCCCGAUUAAUGGCAGUGUGUUGAGGCAAAGCUGAGGGUUAGCGUUGAAGUAAGCAACUGCUUAUAGUUGAGCGCGACCGCGCUGCUCUUGUGUGUGAUUUGUGUUGUUGUGCUUCGUGUUUACAAAGUAUCAGUUUAGCUGGACGCUCUAUAACGCGGGCGUAGUAAAUGGCUUAAAUGUUCCGCGCUCCCGCUAAUUCAUUUAUCUUUCAUAAAUUGAGACAAGCAGCGCAUUUUCAUGCCUUUUGUUUGUUUUGAAUUUUAUGCCUUAAAAUGUAUCAACUUAAAGUGGAAAAUUGAAUACAAAAUGACUUGAGGUGUUUUAAAAGCCAAUUGUGUAUUCAAGUAUAUACAUACAUAAAUAUGUAGUAUGCAAAUAUCAUUGCCAAUAUAGUAACUACAGAUAUUUUCAAACAUUGGUGUAUAUAUUUCUCGACACUCCGGCUCAGCGUGAUUCAUGUGAACAAAUAGAAAGUCUCCUUCGGAAGGUGGAAAUUAAAGUAAUAAUAAAUUUUAAUACAUAUAGUUUUUAUAAUUUAUUUAUAAAAAUCAGAUGAUUAUAUAAA
rnacentral:misc_RNA from 1 species